UAGGAUGGACCCGCGUCUGAUUAGCUAGUUGGUGAGAUAACUGCCCACCAAGGCGACGAUCAGUAGCCGACCUGAGAGGGUGAUCGGCCACAUUGGAACUGAGACACGGUCCAAACUCCUACGGGAGGCAGCAGUGGGGAAUAUUGCACAAUGGGCGAAAGCCUGAUGCAGCAACGCCGCGUGAACGAUGAAGGUUUUCGGCUCGUAAAGCUCUGUUGGUAGUGAAGAAAGAUAGAGGUAGUAACUGGUCUUUAUUUGACGGUAAUCAACCAGAAAGUCACGGCUAACUACGUGCCAGCAGCCGCGGUAAUACGUAGGUGGCAAGCGUUGUCCGGAUUUAUUGGGCGUAAAGCGAGCGCAGGCGGAAUGAUAAGUCUGAUGUGAAAGCCCACGGCUCAACCGUGGAACUGCAUCGGAAACUGUCAUUCUUGAGUGCAGAAGAGGAGAGUGGAACUCCAUGUGUAGCGGUGAAAUGCGUAGA
rnacentral:rRNA from 1 species